CUGCUCCCCAUCCUUCUCUCUAUAUGGCUUAUGCUGAGUUGCAACAGUGCUUGCCGCCUGGCAUCUUUGUUUUUGGCAGCUGUAGUCACACAAUGGUUCUUUUAAGGAGACAUCUAUACAACAGAUAUUUUGAUGCCUAGUACAUGCCAUUUAAACUACUGUCAUCGGAUCUUGACCCAUUUAGGCACUACACUGAUGAAGAAUUUUAACAAAUAAUCCGCAACCCUUUUGCCAAUGAGUUGCCUGUGCAGUAUUUCGUGCCUUAUCGUUGUGUGGGUUAUUGCAUGCCAUAGUGCUCUGUUGUGCAAGAACCCUUUACUGACACUCAAGGAGGUAAUUAACGGGCAAAGGGGGGAGGGUGGAAGGUUGACACGCCUCCUAAUUCUGAUUUUAACUGGAAUAAUCUGAAUAAUGUUAUCCACAUGCAUCGACAGCAAAGAAGUCCUAACUUUGUCAGAGGCAAAACUAAAACCUGAGGAUGGUUUAGACCCCUGCAUUUUUUUUUAUCGCAAUAUAAGUACUUACGUAGCGAAGUUUGACAAACAUCACGUGUCGCCAUCAGACCUUGAUUACGACACAAUGAAAUGUAAAGCUUUGGAAACAGUAAAUUGAAGUAAAGAAACGUUCGCACCCGCCAGGCAGUGUGGUGACGGACGGCAUUUUUACAGAAUAUACCCUCGGUCACCCACUUCGCGUCAAGUAUCAUGGAGCCGAUAUAUCAGCGAUUUGUAAGAUCGUUUUCUGCUACAGCAUAAUUGUUGCAAUUUGUUCAGCCUCUUUGAUAAGCCCUGCAAAACCAAAAUGCUAGAUGCACUAUUUUAUUCGAUUUUGUUUUUCGAUAUGGAUGUCGCCUCUGUCAAUCUAUUUGCUUUAUGGUGACGUUAUAUACAGUAGAAUGUGGCGCAGACGCUUAAAGGAUACGCAAAUCGUAGCGUGAGAAGGACACAUGAUAUCUCCCCCUCUACCCAGUAAGCAGCGGGUAUGAAUGGGCAUUUAAAACUUUACCCUCUUUAGGAGUAUAUAUAUAUGUGUGUGUGUGUGUGUGUGUGUGUGUGUGUGUGUGUGUGUGUGUGUGUGUGUGUUUAUUCACCAUUCCUGCAUCACGCACCCUGUUCUCAUCAUUGAAAAGCAGUGUUGCCUAUUUUCCGCGCAACACAUAAGGGCUGUUGCACAACUCCGGCAUUAGUCGUGUUGUGGCAGAUCUAGCGUGAGGUGCCAUUACUCUUUUCCGUGAAGGGAGUAAAAGAGAAAAUGUUAAGAUAAUAAUAAUAAGAAGAAUGAACAGAGAAAUGUGACAAGUGCGAUUACCUUCAAGUUCUUAUAAGUGAUAAAUGAUAUUGAGAGGAACGUAGCUGCUACUCGGAGUUUUCUUGGAAUUAACACAUCUAGGAAUUUAUAAACAUGAGUCAUCAGCAACCCAGCGGCUUGUUCGGGCCCCUAAACACCCACUAUAGAUCCCUCAAGCGCGUUUAUAUGAACCUCAAGAGAGGCGUGGAGAUUUCGCUUCGCUUCGUCAAUGCUCUGGUAAGAGUAUUCACGCCGAUCAUCUUUUGCUUCUUCUUCGUCUUUAGAAUCGUGGAUAAAAUCGGCAAGUACCUCUCGUGGAUGGCUUACCUUCCGCUCAGGAGUAAGACGGGGAAGGAGGCUGCAGAGGCUGGCGAAGAGCUGCGUCAGAAGAGAAAUGUUUGUGGAGGACCAGACGAUAUGACAAGAGACAGAAAAAAUGGAACCUUCGAAACGUAGUUGAGAAUAAAUUUCUUCGAAUAAACAUGAUUAUAUAACUGACAUAAGUACUUUAUGCAAUGGUUAAAUGGUCUUUGAUAUUGGUUAGAAUCAAUAUAGAAUGCUUG